rnacentral:rRNA from 1 species
UACGUAGGGGGCAAGCGUUGUCCGGAAUCAUUGGGCGUAAAGCGCGUGUAGGCGGUCCGGUAAGUCGGCUGUGAAAGUCCAGGGCUCAACCCUGGGAUGCCGGUCGAUACUGCCGGACUAGAGUUCGGAAGAGGCGAGUGGAAUUCCCGGUGUAGCGGUGAAAUGCGCAGAUAUCGGGAGGAACACCAAUGGCGAAGGCAGCUCGCUGGGACGUUACUGACGCUGAGACGCGAAAGCCAGGGGAGCGAACGGG